rnacentral:rRNA from 1 species
UACGUAGGUGGCGAGCGUUGUCCGGAAUUACUGGGCGUAAAGCGCGCGCAGGUGGUUCCUUAAGUGUGAUGUGAAAGCCCACGGCUCAACCGUGGAGGGUCAUUGGAAACUGGGGAACUUGAGUGCAGAAGAGGAAAGUGGAAUUCCAAGUGUAGCGGUGAAAUGCGUAGAGAUUUGGAGGAACACCAGUGGCGAAGGCGACUUUCUGGUCUGUAACUGACACUGAGGCGCGAAAGCGUGGGGAGCAAACAGG